rnacentral:rRNA from 1 species
UGUCCACACGUUAGAUAUUUGUGGUCCGGCCUGCUCACUGAGUAAAUCUAUAUUACUUAAAGAGCCGCGGUAAUUUGACCGUGCAAAGGUAGCAUAAUCAAUAGUCUUUUUAAUUGAAAACUAGAAUGAAAGGUUAAACAAAAGAACAACUGUCUCUUUAUAAUUAAUUGAAUUUAACUUUCAAGUGAAAAGGCUUGAAUACUUUAAGGGGACGAUAAGACCCUAUAAAGCUUUAUAACAUUAGUUAUAUCUUCUAAAAACAAGACAACAUAGGAAGUGAUAAAUGUUAUUUUAUUGGGGCGAUAGCGAUAUAAGUACUGUAACUGUUGAAAAUUUAAACACUAAUGUAUGAUAAAAAAGGUCCUUGUUGGAGAUUUAAAGACAAAGUUACUUUAGGGAUAACAGCGUUAUAUCUUUUGAGAGUCCUUAUCGAAAAAGAAGAUUGCGACCUCGAUGUUGAAUUAAAUGACCUCUGUGGCGCAGCUGCUUCGGGAAGAAG